UAUUGCAAAUGGUUAAAGCAUUUGGCUGCUUAACCAAAAGGUUGGUGGUUCAAGUCCACCUA
rnacentral:tRNA from 1 species